UAGUAAUCGCAGAUCAGCAUGCUGUGGUGAAUACGUUCCCGGGCCUUGUACACACCGCCCGUCACACCAUGGGAGUCGGUAACACCCAAAGUUGGUAGUCUAACCGCAAGGAGGACGCCGCCUAAGGUGGGAUUGAUGACUGGGGUGAAGUCGUAACAAGGUACC
rnacentral:rRNA from 1 species